UGCCCGGGACUAUAUUUCCACUCUCCGUCUGUAAUGUUCCUCAGUGGUCUCGGAGUGAUGAUGUCAGCGUCCACAGAGUUUCCACCACAGCACAGAGCCUGCAGAGGGGAAACAACAGCACUACGGCAAAUGGUCAGAGGAGCGGUGCAGUCAGUGAAGCCAAAUGGAGAGGAAUACUCAGACUGAGACCAAAAAAGCAUCUUCUGAGGACCUCCUUCUCCAUGAGAGAUGACGAAGCAAGCAAGCUGCGGCAAGCGGUGCGCACACAAACGCACAUUGCAGACACACACCAAACAGUGUGAGUAACUGGUCAGGCUUGAGUGACUCUCUACCUCGCUGCCUUUAGGGCUUCCUGCAAGUCUUUUGGAAAUGUGCCCUGUCCAUGUGAAGAUCAUCACCUUUUCAGUGGCGGCAGAAUCACGAGUUCAUUAAUGUGAUGAACAAAUUAAUCACUAUUAGCUGGUGUGACAACAGGAAAAGGGACAGACACUUUCGCAUGGGUCACAAAUUCUGUGCAUGUCUGUGAAGCUCAUUCUUGCAACCCUAACAAAGUGGCUAUUUUUUCACUCCAGUGGGUAAACAAGAUGCAGACUUUUCCCAUCAGCCUUAUUAAAAUAACGGGCACAGUCUGGGCAAAUUAACUCCAAAGGAAGUCAGCUUCUCCUUUCUACGUGGAGUGAUUCACAUUGGCCUGGCUGUGGAUGGCGUGCGUGAGGACACAGGUUAAAGAAGACCACAGGUCCUCUUGAUCAGGCCCAGUUUGUCUCUUACUCUCUCACACAAAGACACCAACUCACUGCCGAAAUGGAAACAGACAUUUGCUGCCCUGUUAACGGUGUCCUUAUUUACAUCUGAUGUCAUAGUGUAAAAAACACAGACAAGGUUUCCAUGCUCGAAAGAGAGGUAUCAGGAAAGACUGCUGCCCUGCAAAUGGCGGUACAGAUAGGAUUAAGUUGGAAUUGUUGUAUAAACGGUGUCUGGCCUGAGGAAACACAGCUGUCUGGAGAAGGGGAGGUGAUAGUUAAUAUUUUAGUGAGAGUAGCAAAACGCUGCUCUUAGAUUGAAACAGACCCUAAACAUUCAUCACCAAAUACAAACUGCUUACAUUUAAAUGGCAUCUGUUAUGCAGGUUCCAGUAUUUUAAAAUUCAUUAAUCCAUCGAAUUUUUCCUGACUAUCAAAGCCCAAAUUGGGUUGACAGAUUGGGUCCACUUCUUAGACCUUCUUUGUCAAAGCUGUCAAGAGCUUCCCUCACUUUUAGCGCCUUUGAGCACAAUAGUCUGAUUCUUUUUUGCCCCCUUUAAGCAGAGUGUUAUUAGCAUUAUAGGUUGUUAUUGGUUGAUAUUUGUCAUUUAUGCUAGCGUGCUUGCUAACUUAGUGACAAAAAUGAAUGAAUGAUAAAUGCACCUUGCUAAGUUAGCAAAUACUUUAGCAUUAAUGUUAGCAUACUUGCUAACUAACUACCAACAAAGCUAAGUGGCCAAGUUCCUUGUUUUCCACCAGCUUAGGUGAAACACAGUAAACAGCUAUCAGUUAUAGCUACCUAUACAUGUUUUUAUAAUUUAAUUUUUUUUGGUGUAAAGCUGAAAAUCUUCACAUAAGAGUCUAUGGGGGUGACUCACUUUAGGAGUGAGUCUCCAGUAACCACUUGAGAAACUAGAUUGUGGCAUGUCUUGAUGCAAGCCCUAACAGCCAGGUAAAGAAAUCCCCCAAAAGUCAACUUUUUCGGACAGAUUCUGGCAUGUUGGCAUUUUUCAGCCUUGAAGUUGAAAAAGUAAGAAUGAGAAAACAUUAGAAAAAAAAGCCAUUGUAGCAUCCAGAAGGCUGAGUUUAAGUUGUCAUUUGCUUAUAAACUCAGUUGCUUUUUGUGAUGUGUCCAACAUUUUGCCUGGUCUCUUUGCUCCUCUGGACUCCUGACCAUGAAGUUAGCUCAUUUCACGGGCGUGUGACUUUCUUGUGUGACUCAACAUAUAAUUCAGGCAAUGAAGUGAAGUUAUUAGUACCCCUCACAUGUCAAAUCCAACCCUCACUGUCACUCUUUAAAUGACCCAACCCAAUCUGGUUUCCACAGUAACUUUGCUUUGUAGCAGUGUGUUGUGGAAUCUUUGGUAAGUGCUUCGUCACAGUUUGCAUUCACAACCACCAUCCCUCCUCACCGACCUCUAACAUUUGUUCCCAGCAGUGCAGCAGCUCUUCGCAUCCUGUGCAGAAAAUUCUGACUGAUUCAGACGUGAGCAAUGACGAGGAUCAUUGAGAAUGCUGACAACCUUAAAUUAUGUUGCUCAACUGUCUUCAUCCACUGACUGUCUGCAGCAUGAACUUCUGCAUAACAAGUUUGUUUUCUAUGUUUCUUAUAUUCCUCUAGAAGAGCGGCGCCUUCUUCAUGUUCAGAUUUUCAUUGCAUUUCUAUUCCAGGCAGAGAGCUGAAGGCAAACAGUGGAAGAACAGCCAUAAGUGGGUGUGACAGUCAGUCAGUCAGUCAUGGUUGUUGCUCAUCUCCUCCUUUACUCUUCCAGUCUAUAAGCCAGACAUAUUACCCUCCAGCUUUCUCUUUCCAAACACUUUCCAUUUUCGUUUCUUUCUCUAUCAUUUCACACACACCCCUAUGUAUUUCAUCUCUCCAGUUUUUCCAUCCAGCUGUGGCCGUUUGGCUCUCUUUCUCCAAACUGGCUGUACACAGUUUUGUGAAGCCAGGAUGGAGAACCCCGCAUUACAAACAAGUACUAGAAGGCUGUACAUGUGUUACCGAUUGGCACACCUUAAAACAAAUUUGCCUUCCAGAUUUGGAGGAGGAAACUCCACACAAAACACUUAAUUUCACAUUUUAUACCUUUUAGUUUGAGUAGUUCACCAGAAAAUAAUUAGAUGAGGAAAUUAAUAAUGAAAUUAACACCAGCUUUGUCUACUUAACCUAAAGCUACAGAGCAAUUAACUGAUAAGCUUAGCAACAAAUAGUUCACAAGCUGUUGUUUCUACCCUUUGGAUUUUGUAUAUAUUUGUCAGAAACCUUCAGGACAGAUUUGACCAACUCUGCACUGUGGACCUUUAACAAUCACUGCCCCCUUCAAUUAAUGCAGUAACUCAAUGCAUUUAGACAUGCAGACAUGGUCACGACAACCUGGUGAAAUUCAAACUGAGCAUUAGAAUAGGGGAAAAAGGUGGUUCAAGUGACUUUGAAAUAGAUUUUUGCGCCAGAUGGACUGCUCUGAGUAUUUCAGAAACUGGUGAUUUGUUGGGACUGUUGUGCAACUAUCUCUAGGGUUUAGAGAGAAUGGUCUGAAAAAGAGAAAAUAUCCACCAAGUGGCAUUUCUCUGGGUGAAAAUGGUUUGUUGAUGCCAGAGAUCAGGGGAAAAUGGCCAGACUGCUUAAAGCUAAAAGGAAGGCAACAGUAACUCAAAAAUAGCGACUCCUUUAAACUAAUGCAGAAGAGCAUCUUAGAAUGCGUGGCGCAUUGAACCUUGAAGCAAAUGGGCUUUAGCAGCAGAAGACCACACCAGGUGAUACUUAUGUCAGCUAAGAUCAGGAAAGCGAGUCCACAAUGGCAUAAACGACAUGAAAUACAGAUUUAUCCUGCUCUGUAUCAACAGUUCAGGCUGGUGGUUUGAUGGUGUGGGAGAUAUCUUCUUGGUGCACUUUUGGCCCAUUAGUACCAGCUGAGCAUUGUUUAAACACCACAGCCUACCUGAGUAUUGUUGCUGACCAUGUCUUUCCCUUUUCAACUACAAUGUAACCAUCUUCUAAGACCAACGAACAUUAACGAAUGGUGUUGAACAUAUUUUAACGAAUGCUGGCUUAACUUGAGUAAAGCUAAAAAGUAUUCCAGUAAUUCCAAUAUUGAUCAACUUUCGGUAAAAGUGGCUAUAAGGAUGAAACAUAUCACUCCAACAAUGACUUGGGGCAGAUAGUGAACAAUUUUCUACCAUGAAAGAGAAACAAAUUCCCAGGUCUUCUCACAAAGUCUUGGGAAUAAAAAUACAAGUGAAAAAACUGCAAACACUGUUUAGGAAAGCUCAACAUUUUAUAUUUUACAAUAUUGUGCAGUGAAUACAUCAAGGCGUACAUAGUUGUUUAGGUGAUCUAAAUCUGUGGGCUUUUUUGAUAACUACAGGUUUGUUAGGAUAUAAUGCAAUGAAGAUGUUCCACAUCCCUCCGUCUUGCUUUCAACUGUAUUCCUUUGUGUAAGAAAGUGUUGUUUUGAUAUCAGUGGAAAAAGAUGACAGACACUAAAUUAAACCAAUCAUACUUUAGAAAACAGUUGCAGCAGUUCCAGCUUUCAGAGAUUAUGAGGUAUCCAACUGAGCUUUCAAAUACAAAUCAUUCUGGGAACAAAGAAAUCGUUAUGAAAACAACCAGUGUGAGGGAUAAAUCUUUGCUGCAAAAUAGAUCUUAUGUAUGGAAAACAGAGACAGUGAGCAAAGAAGAGAUGAUAUAAGCCAGGCAGCCUUCCAGGGGCUUUGACAGAGACAGCUCAUAAAUCUGACAGAGAUAUAACAACCCAAGAAAUUAAGUCAUACCCAAAAUGCACCACUCUAUGGAGUAAAUGUUUCUCUCUUUCAAAUAUUUAUGCGUUCUUUUACACCAGGAUCACCCUCCCGAAAAUGCAUGAGUGCACAUUCAGGAAACCUGUUGCACAGCAGUGAAUAUGGAAGUUGAUGUUAAGUAACACUUUAAGGCUCGCCGCUUGAAACUCUCUGGUGUUUCAAGUCUCCACGCUUUGGCGCUGUUGCACACGUGGAAAGAAUUCAGAGGCUUUUUUCAAACAGGGGAGAUUGGUGACUCAGUUGCACUCACUGUGCUUUUGGCUUUUGCUGUUUUUCUUCCUCUGUUUCCCAAAAAACAUCUGCUUGCUGUUUAAUUCUUCAGUCCUCUGGCAUAACUUGUUCCUUGAACCUGAGGCGGGAAUUAUUACAGUCCGCAGUCAUGCACACAGUAGCUGCUCUCCUGACCAGACCCAUGAGUAACAGCUCAUGCAGCAGGACAUGUCCAAAACAGCACAAUGUGCUCUGGUUUACUGUUUCCGCCCACCUUGGAAAUGUUAUUUCACUUCA